rnacentral:rRNA from 1 species
AGAGUUUGAUCCUGGCUCAGGAUGAACGCUAGCUACAGGCUUAACACAUGCAAGUCGAGGGGCAGCAUGGUCUUAGCUUGCUAAGGCCGAUGGCGACCGGCGCACGGGUGAGUAACGCGUAUCCAACCUGCCUUACACUCUUGGACAGCCUUCUGAAAGGGAGAUUAAUACAAGAUGUUAUCAUGAGUAAGCAUUUUCGCAUGAUUAAAGGUUUACCGGUGUAAGAUGGGGAUGCGUUCCAUUAGAUAGUAGGCGGGGUAACGGCCCACCUAGUCUUCGAUGGAUAGGGGUUCUGAGAGGAAGGUCCCCCACAUUGGAACUGAGACACGGUCCAAACUCCUACGGGAGGCAGCAGUGAGGAAUAUUGGUCAAUGGACGAGAGUCUGAACCAGCCAAGUAGCGUGAAGGAUGACUGCCCUAUGGGUUGUAAACUUCUUUUAUAAAGGAAUAAAGUCGGGUAUGGAUACCCGUUUGCAUGUACUUUAUGAAUAAGGAUCGGCUAACUCCGUGCCAGCAGCCGCGGUAAUACGGAGGAUCCGAGCGUUAUCCGGAUUUAUUGGGUUUAAAGGGAGCGUAGAUGGAUGUUUAAGUCAGUUGUGAAAGUUUGCGGCUCAACCGUAAAAUUGCAGUUGAUACUGGAUAUCUUGAGUGCAGUUGAGGCAGGCGGAAUUCGUGGUGUAGCGGUGAAAUGCUUAGAUAUCACGAAGAACUCCGAUUGCGAAGGCAGCUUACUAACCUGUAACUGACAUUGAUGCUCGAAAGUGUGGGUAUCAAACAGGAUUAGAUACCCUGGUAGUCCACACGGUAAACGAUGAAUACUCGCUGUAGGCGAUAUACAGUCUGCGGCCAAGCGAAAGCAUUAAGUAUUCCACCUGGGGAGUACGCCGGCAACGGUGAAACUCAAAGGAAUUGACGGGGGCCCGCACAAGCGGAGGAACAUGUGGUUUAA